CCUAGAGUUGUAGGCUUUGCCUGCUAUCUCUUACCCAUGUCUUUUGAGUACCUUCGUUUCCUCGGCGGGUCCGCCCGCCGAUUGGACAAUUUAAACCAUUUGCGGUUGCAAUCAGCGUCUGAAAAAACUUAAUAGUUA
rnacentral:misc_RNA from 1 species